UUUUCCGCUUGAAUCUUGUUAAACAAGGAAAUUUGCGGAAUGACCAGUUUUGCCUGUCCGAUCAUCCACGCAGCAAUGGCGUAAGACGUAUUGAUCCUUCAGGCACUUAGCGGGCUGCGGGUUGCAGUCCUUACCGGUAGAGGGAUCGACCCUGGAGAGUAAUACCCAGGCAGUUCCCCUGAUAAUUGCGCUGUUUUUCCGUAUGAAAUACAGGCAACCGACACUCUGCGCCUCUUAAGCGUGCGAUAACCGUGAGGUUGGCGACGUGAACAGACACGAGGCCAUCGGUUCACCCCGGAAAGGCGUUAACUAUGCCCGCAGCCUAGUCGUCAA
rfam:Escherichia vulneris NBRC 102420 DNA, contig: EV10242015.